ACAGUCGAACGAUGAAACUCUAGCUUGCUAGAGAUGAUUAGUGGCGGACGGGUGAGUAACAUUUAGGAAUCUGCCUAGUAGUGGGGGAUAGCUCGGGGAAACUCGAAUUAAUACCGCAUACGACCUACGGGUGAAAGGGGGCGCAAGCUCUUGCUAUUAGAUGAGCCUAAAUCAGAUUAGCUAGUUGGUGGGGUAAAGGCCCACCAAGGCGACGAUCUGUAACUGGUCUGAGAGGAUGAUCAGUCACACCGGAACUGAGACACGGUCCGGACUCCUACGGGAGGCAGCAGUGGGGAAUAUUGGACAAUGGGGGCAACCCUGAUCCAGCCAUGCCGCGUGUGUGAAGAAGGCCUUUUGGUUGUAAAGCACUUUAAGCAGGGAGGAGAGGCUAAUGGUUAAUACCCAUUAGAUUAGACGUUACCUGCAGAAUAAGCACCGGCUAACUCUGUGCCAGCAGCCGCGGUAAUACAGAGGGUGCGAGCGUUAAUCGGAAUUACUGGGCGUAAAGCGAGUGUAGGUGGCUCAUUAAGUCACAUGUGAAAUCCCCGGGCUUAACCUGGGAACUGCAUGUGAUACUGGUGGUGCUAGAAUAUGUGAGAGGGAAGUAGAAUUCCAGGUGUAGCGGUGAAAUGCGUAGAGAUCUGGAGGAAUACCGAUGGCGAAGGCAGCUUCCUGGCAUAAUAUUGACACUGAGAUUCGAAAGCGUGGGUAGCAAACAGGAUUAGAUACCCUGGUAGUCCACGCCGUAAACGAUGUCUACUAGCCGUUGGGGUCCUUGAGACUUUAGUGGCGCAGUUA
rnacentral:rRNA from 1 species